GUCGCAAUAGCUCAGUUGGGAGAGCGCAAGACUGAAGAUCUUGAGGCCCAGUGUUCGAUUCACUGUUGCGACA